rnacentral:rRNA from 1 species
CAGCUCUCCGAGUGGUAGGGACGAUUAUUGGGCUUAAAGCGUCCGUAGCCGGCUUAGCAAGUCUCCUGUUAAAUUCAGCGACCUAAUCGUUGAGCCGCGGGAGAUACUACAAGGCUAGGAGGCGGAAGAGGCCGACGGUAUUCUCGGGGUAGGGGUGAAAUCCUAUAAUCCCGGGAGGACCACCAGUGGCGAAGGCUGUCGGCUAGAACGCGCUCGACGGUGAGGGACGAAAGCUGGGGGAGCGAACCGGAUUAGAUACCCGGGGUAGUCCCAGCUGUAAACGAUGCGGGCUAGGUGUUGGGGUGGCUACGAGCCCACUUCAGUGCCGCAGGGAAACCAUUAAGCCCGCCGCCUGGGGAGUACGGCCGCAAGGCUG